rnacentral:rRNA from 1 species
AAGCGUGGGGAGCAAACAGGAUUAGAUACCNUGGUAGUCCACGCCCUAAACGAUGUCAACUAGUUGUCGGGUNUUCAUUGACUUGGUAACGUAGCUAACGCGUGAAGUUGACCGCCUGGGGAGUACGGUCGCAAGAUUAAAACUCAAAGGAAUUGANCGGGGACCCGCACAANCGGUGGAUGAUGUGGAUUAAUUCGACGCAACGCGAAAAACCUUACNUACCCUUGACAUGUAUGGAACCCUGGCUGAAAGGUGGGGGUGCCCGAAAGGGAGCCAUAACACAGGUGCUGCAUGGCUGUCGUCAGCUCGUGUCGUGAGAUGUUGGGUUAAGUCCCGCAACGAGCGCAACCCUUGUCCCUAGUUGCUACGCAAGAGCACUCUAGGGAGACUGCCGGUGACAAACCGGAGGAAGGUGGGGAUGACGUCAAGUCCUCAUGGCCCUUAUGGGUAGGGCUUCAUCAGCGUCAUACAAUGGUCGGAACCAGAGGGUCGCCAACCCGCCGAGGGGGAGCCAAUCCCAGAAAACCGAUCGUAGUCCGGAUCGCACUCUGCAAACUCGAGUGCGUGAAGUCUGGAACUCGNUAGUAAGUCGCGGAUCAGCAUGCCG